rnacentral:tRNA from 1 species
GGUGGUAUAGCUCAGAGGUAGACCAUGUGCUUAGUGUGCACGAGGUCCUGUGUUCAAGCCCCAGUACCUCCA